GGUUGUCCUGACGUGAAUUUCAUACAACUUUAUUGACAUGAUAUCUCGUCAUACAUAGCUUGUAUGAACUUCAAACCUUGACGUGUAGUUAGUUACUUAUGCAUAUAUCUCGCAUAAUUCUACAGAAAUACCAGUUACUCUUUAAUAUUAAUUAAUAUCUCAUUUGAAAAAAUGGGAAAAUUGUAGUCGAUAGCUUGUUUGUGUGCGUGACCAUGCGUGACCUUACACUGUCCGUGUAAAGCAACAUGGCGAAGUCAAGUUUAAUCAUAGCGAACACAGAUGUCAUCUUAACACAGGUAACCUAACUAUUUAGUAACAAAUUUCCUCAAUAGGUGGCUACGGAUAAAAUUAUCUCAUUACAAAAUAGUGAAACAUAUUUUACAUUGCAAAAAUACUCCAGUAAAAUUGGAACCAUUCAUUCGUACAAGUAACUAUGUAAUCGGAUGUCAGGUAAGAUUUGCUUCUUUGAUAGUUUCCCGGAAUCUUUUUUAAUCACUAACCAGUUUAAGACCUAGAUUAUAUGUAAUAAAUUUACAAGAUUAAAAUUAAAAUGAAAGAUUAUAUAUAUUUUUAACGCAUUAUCAUUGAUUUAUUUACUGAACUAAAAGAUUAAAAUAUUUAUAGGAGCAUUAUCAUUACCUCAUUACAUAAUAAUUGUGUCCGGGAACGUGCGGAGGGCACUUUAUUUGCCAUAGACAACUUAUGCAUUUUUCUGCAUUUAUUUUUUCCUACUACCGCUUGAUUUUGUUUCCGUUUAUGUCAAAAGUGUCAAAACAGUUUCAAAAUAUUGUAAAUUUAUUGCAAAUAAUCUCAGACAUUUAGUUGAAGUGUUAUUUGUUCUUUGUUAUAUAACGGAGAAACGGAGGGUGGAAUUUUUUGUAUAAUAAUUGUAUAUAGAUUAUAGAUUUGUCUGGUCAAUUAGUUUGCCCCGAACACCGCUAUGGGCAGAACCACAAAGCGGCGUACAAAAAACAUACGUAAACGACGUAAAGUAGGUACAAGCUGCCUUACAAUAUCACUAUCACCAUAGCACCAAAUCGAAAAACCUGGCUUGGCGAAAUGUUUUGUAUUACUGCUGAAACGUCAAACGGUUCAACGAAUGCAGACUGAUCAUCAAGCACAAACGUCGGUGUCAGAUGUCCAUAACGGACGUGUACUCCCAAAGGACACGAGGCAGCAUACAAAUCAAUAAAAAUAAUUUGUAUAUAAAUGCAGUAAAUAUAAUAUUGAUGUUUUUAAGUAUACUACAAACCAUGUAGGUAUGUUCGUCUUCAGUAAAGAUGGUGCUUUUUUUACGCACUAGUGCGAGAAGUUAUUCAUUAUUUAUAUGGCAGGUUGAAACUCCGGAGGUCCAUCUGUACUG